rnacentral:rRNA from 1 species
UACAGAGGGUGCGAGCGUUAAUCGGAAUUACUGGGCGUAAAGCGCGCGUAGGCGGCUUUGCAAGUCGGGUGUGAAAUCCCCGAGCUCAACUCGGGAACUGCGUCCGAUACUGGCGGGCUUGAAUCCGGGAGAGGGAUGCGGAAUUCCAGGUGUAGCGGUGAAAUGCGUAGAUAUCUGGAGGAACACCGGUGGCGAAGGCGGCAUCCUGGACCGGCAUUGACGCUGAGGCGCGAAAGCUAGGGGAGCAAACGGG